AGAGUUUGAUCAUGGCUCAGGACUAACGCUGGCGGCGUGCCUAACACAUGCAAGUCGAACGCAUCUGUGCUUCGGUACAGAUGAGUGGCGAACGGGUGAGUAACACGUGAGUAACUCCCCUUGGGGAGGGGGAUAACCAUCUGAAAAGGUGGCUAAUACCCCAUAUUCUCCUUUUUUGCCAAAGAAAGGAGGAAAGAUGGCGUAAGCUAUCACCCCGAGAGAGGCUCGCGUCCCAUCAGCUAGUUGGUAGGGUAAUGGCCUACCAAGGCUAUGACGGGUAGCUGGUCUGAGAGGAUGGUCAGCCACACUGGGACUGAGACACGGCCCAGACUCCUACGGGAGGCAGCAGUGAGGAAUCUUGGGCAAUGGGCGAAAGCCUGACCCAGCGACGCCGCGUGGAGGAAGAAGGCCUUCGGGUCGUAAACUCCUGUUCGGGGAGAAGAACAGGAGAGGAGUGAAUAACUUCUCUCCCUGACGGUAUCCCCGGAGAAAGCUCCGGCUAAUUACGUGCCAGCAGCCGCGGUAAUACGUAAGGAGCGAGCGUUGUCCGGAUUUACUGGGCGUAAAGAGCUCGUAGGUGGUUUCUUAGGUCUCACGUGAAAUUCCCUGGCUCAACUGGGGAGGGUCGUGGGAAACCGAGAAGCUAGAGGGCAGGAGAGGAGAGUGGAAUUCCCGGUGUAGCGGUGAAAUGCGUAGAGAUCGGGAGGAACACCAGUGGUGAAGACGGCUCUCUGGACUGUCCCUGACACUGAGGAGCGAAAGCCAGGGGAGCAAACCGGAUUAGAUACCCGGGUAGUCCUGGCUGUAAACGAUGGGUACUAGGUGUGGGGGGUUCGACCCCCUCCGUGCCGCAGUUAACGCAUUAAGUACCCCGCCUGGGGAGUACGGGCCGCAAGGUUGAACUCAAAUGAAUUGACGG
rnacentral:rRNA from 1 species